AAGACGGGAGGAAGAAGGGGGGAAGAGGGGACAAGGGGCGAAAGCCUGAUCCAGCCAUGCCGCGUGUGUGAAGAAGGCCUUCGGGUUGUAAAGCACUUUCAGUGGGGAAGAAAGCCUUGGGGCUAAUACCCUCGAGGAAGGACAUCACCCACAGAAGAAGCACCGGCUAACUCCGUGCCAGCAGCCGCGGUAAUACGGAGGGUGCGAGCGUUAAUCGGAAUUACUGGGCGUAAAGCGCGCGUAGGCGGUCUGAUAAGCCGGUUGUGAAAGCCCCGGGCUCAACCUGGGAACGGCAUCCGGAACUGUCAGGCUAGAGUGCAGGAGAGGAAGGUAGAAUUCCCGGUGUAGCGGUGAAAUGCGUAGAGAUCGGGAGGAAUACCAGUGGCGAAGGCGGCCUUCUGGACUGACACUGACGCUGAGGUGCGAAAGCGUGGGUAGCAAACAGGAUUAGAUACCCCAGUAGUC
rnacentral:rRNA from 1 species